rnacentral:sRNA from 1 species
UAUGUGUUUAAAACUGCAGACGCAAUUCCUCGGUUAAAUGGCGACUAAUAAGGGAAACACUUCAAUUCGAAGCACGUGCGGAAUUGCGUCAUUGCAAGAGCGCUGCGGACUCCGUCUGAAAUGGAGUCAUUAUAAAACAUAACAAACAUAGUUACAUCACAUUGCCAAGACAGGAACAAGGAAAAUAGAAAGGUUCCUUGCAAUACAUUAAAAAUUCUAAGACCGAAACGAAGAAGAAAAUGGAAAAAAAAGAUAGAAAAAUCAAUGGUAAACAAUGAACAAUCGGCUAAAGGAAAACACAACAUCAGUAAACCCCAUGGAUCCUAUCCUAACCCUAGAAAAGUGUGAAAGCAGCAAAAUGAGGUUCCAGAGGAAGAAAAAAACAAGUAUGAUCUAUUAAAAACACCUAGAAGAAAGCGCUAAAAGCCAGCACAAAAAGAUAGACCAAACCUAUCUAGAAAAAGCGAAAAAAAAAAAAAAAAAUAGAUAAAAAGGUGAGAAAAGUCCAGCAUUUCUCCGAACGAGGAUUCCAGUCCUCCUUCUCACCACUCUUCCAUCGCCACCCAAAAGUUAUCAUUCGUUGUGACGGUCAGAUUAGAGCACACAUGUAGUCAUGAGCCGCUUCGUGG